GUGAGUAGACGCUGGACCCGCGGGGUUUCUUCCUUUUUACUGGGCUGUGUCAGGCGGCAUGAAAUUACACAGCUCAGGCCUGUAAUCCCAGCACUUUAGGGGGCCGAGGUGGGCAGAUCACUUGAGUCCAGGAGUUGAAGACUAGCCAGGGCAUCAUGGCGAAACCCCAUCUCUACAAAAAAUUCCAAAAAAGAUUAGUCGGGCCUGGUGGUGCGUACCUGUUAUCACAGUUACUGGAGAGGCUGAGGUGGGAGGAUCGCUUGGGCCCAGGAGCUGGACGUUGCAGUGAGCCGAGAUGGCCCCGCUGCACUCUUGUCUC
rnacentral:lncRNA from 1 species